rnacentral:rRNA from 1 species
UCAAGCUACAAAGAGCACAAGGGGAAUGCCUUGGCACCGAGAGCCGAAGAAGGACGUGACUAACUGCGAUAAGCUGCGGGGAGCCGUAAGUAGGCUUUGAUCCGCAGAUUUCCGAAUGGAGCAAUCCGGCAAGAGGAAAGUCUUGUCAUCAUAUACUGAAUACAUAGGUAUAUGAGGGGAACCGCCUGAACUGAAACAUCUAAGUAGGGCGAGGAAGAGAAAUCAACUGAGAUUCCGUAAGUAGUGGCGAGCGAACGCGGAAGAGGCCAAACCGAGAGUAGUAAUACUUUCGGGGUUCGGACAGAAUACGGUAUUGUAAAGGUUUAGUGGAAUGGAAUGGGAAGUCCAACCGAAGAAGGUGAGAGUCCUGUACACGAAAAGCCUGAACAGCCAUCUGUAUCCAGAGUACCGCCGGACACGUGAAACCCGGUGGGAAUACGGGGGGACCAUCCUCCAAGCCUAAAUACUACUCGGUGACCGAUAGUGAAGAAGUACUGUGAAGGAAAGGUGAAAAGUACCCCUGACGGGGAGUGAAAAAGAACCUGAAACCUUGUGUUUACAAGCACCGAAAGCUCAUCAAAGAGCGAUCGGGUACCUUUUGUAGAAUGGUCCGGCGAGUGAAUGUAACCGGCGAGGUUAAGCACUUAAGGUGUGAAGCCGCAGCGAGAGCAAGUCUGAAUAGGGCGUAUGAAGUCGGUUGUAUUCGACCCGAAACCGGGUGACCUACCCAUGGUCAGGUUGAAGUAAAGGUAAAACUUUAUGGAGGACCGAACCGACUCCCGUUGAAAUGGUAGCGGAUGAACUGUGGGUAGCGGAGAAAUUCCAAUCGAACCCGGAGAUAGCUGGUUCUCUCCGAAAUAGCUUUAGGGCUAGCCUUGAAAUAGAUUACCGGAGGUAAAGCACUGAAUUGGCUAGGGGCCGAGAGGUUACUGAACCUUAUCAAACUAAGAAUGCCGGAUAAUCGUUUUUCAGGAGUCAGACAGUGGGAGAUAAGUUUCAUUGUCAAAAGGGAAACAGCCCAGACCCACAGCUAAGGUCCCCAAGUAUAGUUAAGUGGAAAAGGAUGUGGAAUUGCACAGACAACCAGGAUGUUGGCUUAGAAGCAGCCACUCAUUAAAAGAGUGCGUAAUAGCUCACUGGUCGAGUGACUCUGCGCCGAAAAUUUAACGGGGCUAAACUAUACACCGAAGCUUGGGAUACAUCUAAUGUAUGGUAGGAGAGCGUUCUGUAUGGGGCGAAGUCGUAGCGAAAGCGGCGGUGGACUGUACAGAAGUGAGAAUGCCGGAAUAAGUAGCGAGAAUUAAGUGAGAAUCUUAAUGGCCGAAAGUCUAAGGUUUUUGGAGGAAGGUUCGUCCGCUCCAAGUAAGUCGGGAGCUAAGGUCAGGCCGAAAGGCGUAGCCGAUGCACAUACGGUUGAUAUUCCGUAACCAUCUGUAAUUUAAGCAAAGGGACACUUCAAAAGGGUGUGACCCGGGCGUUGGUUGACCCGGGCGUAAGGGACCGAAAUUAGAGUAGGGAAGCACACUUGGCUGAAGGCGAGAAAAGCUUUGCGUAUAGAAACAGAUGCCCGUACCGCAAACCGACACAGGUGGACAGGAAGAGAAUUCUAAGGCCAGCGGGAGAAGGGUAGUUAAGGAACUCGGCAAAUUGACUCCGUAACUUCGGAAUAAGGAGUGCUCGAAAGAGCCGCAGAGAAUAGGCCCAGGCGACUGUUUAGCAAAAACACAGGUCUCUGCCAAAUCGAAAGAUGAAGUAUAGGGGCUGACACCUGCCCGGUGCCGGAAGGUUAAGAGGAGGAGUGAGAGCUCCGAAUUGAAGCCCCGGUAAACGGCGGCCGUAACUAUAACGGUCCUAAGGUAGCGAAAUUCCUUGUCGGGUAAGUUCCG